GAGAAGAUGUCAUUUUAAACUGCAACAUUGUAGAGCUGUACUCCUCAUGUUCAACAGUGGCUUGGCUGAAAGUCAUUCCAGAGAACGCAACGAUCAGCCUGACCGAUAGACUUCAGAUCCGUCCUUAUUACUCGUCCAACCAGUGGACCAGUAUUUGUACUGCUGUCAUCACCAAUACAACAGUGCAUGACUCCAGUAUGUACUACUGCGCAGCUGUGCACAGCCGCUUUGCUCACAUCGGUAAUGGAUCCAGAGUCAUUGUGAAAGAACACACUGUGUUUCCUGUUAUUGAUAUUCUUACUCCGCUGAUCAUAAACGGUCCUUUGGUCCCUCUUCAGGGUCCCUCUUGUGAAGGGGGUCGAGGCUUCUCAAGUUCAUGUGUUCUGGACUGUGGAGGGGAAAAAAGAGAAAGGACAGCCAAUUUUGACACAUGGGAACGAUGGUGUCAUCCAGAUCACUAGGAGCCAGAUCCUGAUGACUGCUGAAGAGUGGGAAAGGAAGGUGCAGUGUGUGUGUGUAGUGCAGUUUGGAGGACAGCUCUACACCAAGACCCUUCAGCCACAUGAUGCACCAGAUGUGUGUUAUGCAGCAAAAUACAUAUAUUUGUCUGUCUGCUUAAUAUUUGGUCUCCUGCUUCUGGCAACAGUGAUUAUUUAUAGGCUGGGACGGAAAACUUUAUUGAUGAUGUCUCUAUGAAAACAUAUAGUUCCAAAGAGCUUUCAGUUUAUGUAUUUUGCUCUAACCCAUUUUUAUUUAUCAAACUUAUUUUGGUAUUUG